rnacentral:rRNA from 1 species
GUCUACAACCAUACUUACCCUGAACGUGCCUGAUCUCAUCUGAAUCUCAUGAAGCUAAGCAGGAUCAGGCCUGGUUAGUACGUGGAUGGGAGAAAAAUCUCUCCCAGAUUGCAUGUGGCAUAAAGGAAGUCUACGCU